CUAUCGAGAUUCGACUAAGCCAUGCGAGUUGAAUGUUCUUCGUGAACAUGGCGGAUCAUUAGUAACACGUGGACAACCUACCCUUGGGUCCGGCAUAAUCCUGGGAAACUGGGAAUAAUUCCGGAUAGGUCACCGAUGCUGGAAUGCGCGGUGGCCGAAAGCUCCGGCGCCCCAGGAUGAGUCUGCGUCCGAUUAGGUAGUUGUUGGGGUUACUGCCCAACAAGCCGAUAAUCGGUACGGGUUGUGGGAGCAAGAGCCCGGAGAUGGAUUCUGAGACACGAAUCCAGGCCCUACGGGGCGCAGCAGGCGCGAAACCUUUACAAUGCGGGCAACCGUGAUAAGGAAACCCCGAGUGCCCGUAAGAGCGGGCUGUCCAUCUGUUUAACCAGCAGGUGAAGAAAGGGCCGGGCAAGACCGGUGCCAGCCGCCGCGGUAAUACCGGCGGCUCGAGUGGUGGCCACUAUUACUGGGCUUAAAGGGUCCGUAGCUUGAGCAAUAAGUCCCUUGGGAAAUUCAGCAGCUUAACUGGUGACAGUUCAGGGGAAACUGUUGUUCUAGGGAUCGGGAGAGGUAAGAGGUACUGCCGGGGUAGGAGUGAAAUCCUGUAAUCCCGGUGGGACCACCGGUGGCGAAGGCGUCUUACCAGAACGACUCCGACAGUGAGGGACGAAAGCUGGG
rnacentral:rRNA from 1 species